GGAGGGUCCAAGCGUUAUCCGGAUUUAUUGGGUUUAAAGGGUGCGUAGGCGGAAUUGUAAGUCAGAGGUGAAAGCCCACAGCUUAACUGUGGAACUGCCUUUGAUACUGCGAUUCUUGAGUUCAGAUGAGGUGGGCGGAAUGUGACAUGUAGCGGUGAAAUGCAUAGAUAUGUCACAGAACGCCGAUUGCGAAGGCAGCUCACUAAACUGACACUGACGCUGAGGCACGAAAGCGUGGGGAGCGAACAGGAUUAGAUACCCUGGUAGUCCCACGCCCGUAAACGAUGAUUACUCGAUGCGUGCAAUACAUAGUACGUGUCCAAGCGAAAGCGUUAAGUAAUCCACCUGGGGAGUACGAUCGCAAGGUUG
rnacentral:rRNA from 1 species